GUCCACGCCUAACGAUGUCAACUGGUUGUUGGACGGCUUGCUGUUCAGUAACGAAGCUAACGCGUGAAGUUGACCGCCUGGGAGUACGGCCGCAAGGUUGAAACUCAAAGGAAUUGACGGGACCCGCACAAGCGGUGGAUGAUGUGGUUUAAUUCGAUGCAACGCGAAACCUUACCUACCCUUGACAUUCCAGGAACUUACCAGAGAUGGUUUGGUGCUCGAAAGAGAGCCUGGACACAGGUGCUGCAUGGCCGUCGU
rnacentral:rRNA from 1 species